ACCCGCUGAAUUUAAGCAUAUCAAUAAGCGGAGGAAAAGAAACCAACAGGGAUUGCCUUAGUAACGGCGAGUGAAGCGGCAAAAGCUCAAAUUUGAAAUCGGCCACCAGGUCGAGUUGUAAUUUGUAGAUUGUAUCUUGAGAGCGGAUUAAAGUCUGUUGGAACACAGCGCCUUAGAGGGUGACAGCCCCGUAAAAUCUAUUCUCAUUGUAAGAUACUUUCGAAGAGUCGAGUUGUUUGGGAAUGCAGCUCUAAGUGGGAGGUAAAUUCCUUCUAAAGCUAAAUAUUGACGAGAGACCGAUAGCGAACAAGUACUGUGAAGGAAAGAUGAAAAGCACUUUGAAAAGAGCGUGAAAAAGUACGUGAAAUUGUUAAAAGGGAAGGGUAUUGAAUCAGACUUGGUGCUGUUGUUCAACUGUGUUUCGGCAUAGUGUACUCAGCAGUACUAGGCCAAGGUGGGGUGUUUGGGAGUGAAAAAGAAGUUGGAACGUAACUCUUCGGAGUGUUAUAGCCUACUUUCAUAGCUCCUCAGGCGCCUCAGGACUGCGCUUCGGCAAGGACCUUGGCAUAAUGAUUCUAUACCGCCUGUCUUGAAACACGGACCAAGGAG
rnacentral:rRNA from 1 species